UACGUAGGUGACAAGCGUUGUCCGGAUUUACUGGGCGUAAAGAGCGCGCAGGCGGUCGUUCAAGUCGAGUGUGAAAGCCCCCGGCUCAACUGGGGAGGGUCAUUCGAUACUGAUCGACUCGAAGGCAGGAGAGGGUAGUGGAAUUCCCGGUGUAGUGGUGAAGUGCGUAGAUAUCGGGAGGAACACCAGUGGCGAAGGCGACUACCUGGCCUGUUCUUGACGCUGAGGCGCGAAAGCUAGGGGAGCAAACGGG
rnacentral:rRNA from 1 species